UUUCAAAUUGGCAGCCUCAAAUUCUACAGCAUCAUUUUUCACAAAUCUCAAAUUUCUAAUUUCAAGCCUCCCUCUCAAGUCAUUUAGCCUAUUCAGCUCAUUCAAGCUACCAAAAUGUUUAAGCACAGAACUAUCUUUGGCCACUACAAACCAUGUUAAUGUCUGAAGGGAAGUUAAUUGCCCAAUCCCAUUUGGCAUAUGAGUCAAACUCCAACAUCCCUCACAAUCAAGAUGCCUAAGAUUAACCAGCCUUCUAAUUUCUUUUGGCAAUUCCUCAAGGCUUUUACAACCAGAGAGCUUGAGCACUUGCAAAUUUUGAAGCUUGGUAGUAGCAUCUGGAAGUGCCUUGAGUUCACUAUUUUCUGACAUAUCAAGAUACCUUAGGUGUUUUAACUUUUUAAUGGAAGACGAUACUUUCUCAAUCCCUAAAUUAUGUAGAUCAAACACACGCAAACACCUAGGGUUUGAAAAAAUAGCUUCAUGACUAGACUUAUCCCAUCUUCCACGAGCACCUGAACUAGACACUUGACUUGGCAGAAGAAAUGUUCGCAACCGUUUUGCAUUAAGCAAGUAGGUUGGAACUUGCGAAGGUGAAUCUAAAUGAAAGUCACAUGAUACAUGACGAGUUUUUUUAUCAAUGUUUCCUACAUUCAAAUUCAUUACAUUGCUCUCAGUCCCAGCCACCAAAGUUGCAAGAUCAUUCAUUAGAUCAUGCAUUUUGCAACUUUUUACAUUGCCAAACACAUCCCCUCUUAAUUCUUGGAAAAAGGAUCUCCAUGACAACUCCAUAAAAUACUCAACUGCUUUGUCUUCUAGACAUUCACUUGAAUACGAUGACUUAAUAAACCCUUGCCCAAUCCACAAAUGAAUCAAUGUUUUGACAUCAAUCUCAUAAUCUUUUGGAAAUAAACUACAAUAUGCAAAACAGUGCUUCAAGUGCGAAGGAAGAUAGUCAUAGCUCAACCUAAGUGUAGGUAAAAUACCAUUCUCAUUUUGA
rnacentral:misc_RNA from 1 species